rnacentral:rRNA from 1 species
GACGAACGCUGGCGGCGUGCUUAACACAUGCAAGUCGAACGGUAAGGCCCUUCGGGGUACACGAGUGGCGAACGGGUGAGUAACACGUGGGUGAUCUGCCCUGCACUUCGGGAUAAGCCUGGGAAACUGGGUCUAAUACCGGAUAGGACCACUGCCUGCAUGGGUGGUGGUGGAAAGCUUUUGCGGUGUGGGAUGGGCCCGCGGCCUAUCAGCUUGUUGGUGGGGUGAUGGCCUACCAAGGCGACGACGGGUAGCCGGCAUGGGAGGGUGACCGGCCACACUGGGACUGAGAUACGGCCCAGACUCCUACGGGAGGCAGCAGUGGGGAAUAUUGCACAAUGGGCGCAAGCCCGAUGCAGCGACGCCGCGUGAGGGAUGACGGCCUUCGGGUUGUAAACCUCUUUCAGCACCGACGAAGCGCAAGUGACGGUAGGUGCAGAAGAAGGACCGGCCAACUACGUGCCAGCCGCCGCCGUAA